rnacentral:tRNA from 1 species
UGGGGUAUCGCCAAGCGGUAAGGCACCGGUCUUUGAUACCGGCAUUCCCUGGUUCGAAUCCAGGUACCCCAGCCA